AUGAAUGCAAGUAACUAUGGAGGAGGAUACGGUCAAUCGGAGUCGGUUAGGUUAAAAAAAAUGGUCCUCUGGAGCCAAGUUGUCCGAGUGAGAGAGAGUACCGUACGGCGACAUGUGUGUCGGGAAAGGACAAACUCGUCCAUUUCUUAACGUUCUCUCUUCUUUUUUUUUUUUUUUUUUUUUUUUAUACUCUUAUUUGUAGUAGUAUUGUUUUGGGAGAGUCUGUCUGACUCACCGUUUAUUUUAUAAACAAUGUCAGUGUCGUUGUUAAGUCCCAAUAAAACUGUAUAAUAAAUGCAUGUCGAGAGCCACGACCGUGAUUAAACGAAACAAGCUUGCGAUCCAGAACUAGCUAAUUAGUCACAUACCUAAAAAAAAGAAGACAUCAUGUCAUGUCAUAUGUGUAUAUUAUAUGUAUGUAUAUUGAGUUAAAAGUUGUAGUUCAUGUAAUUUCUGUUAACCAUUAAAACAAAAAAUGCGAAGAAUAGCGCAGUAAAAAAAAAAAAAAAAAAGUUUCUCACAGUUGGCAAACUCCAUUUAUGAUUAUUUGGACAUUUGCUAUACAUAUCAGUAUAUGUAGGAUCAGCAUAUAAUAUACAACAACGAACGAUGUUGAUCUUAUUUUGGACCACAUCCUUCUGCGUAAC
rnacentral:lncRNA from 1 species